UACGAAGGGGGCUAGCGUUGCUCGGAAUCACUGGGCGUAAAGCGCACGUAGGCGGCUUGUUAAGUCAGGGGUGAAAUCCUGGAGCUCAACUCCAGAACUGCCUUUGAUACUGGAAAGCUUGAGUGCGGGAGAGGUGAGUGGAACUGCGAGUGUAGAGGUGAAAUUCGUAGAUAUUCGCAAGAACACCAGUGGCGAAGGCGGCUCACUGGCCCGGUACUGACGCUGAGGUGCGAAAGCGUGGGGAGCAAACAGG
rnacentral:rRNA from 1 species